rnacentral:lncRNA from 1 species
CUGGAGCUGCGCUGGUUUUUCCUCGGAGUGGAGCCUGGUAACCGCGACUUCCCCGCCAUGUUCUGUGUGUUGCUGGCUGGAGAAGGGUGGUUGACAAACUCCGACCCAGCACAGUGUUUCUGUGGGUCAAAACUAGAAAACUAUGUCCAGGCUCGGCCGAGGCGGAAGGAUCCGUUCAGGCCAGGAGUUAAAGAGCUGCCUGGGCAACAUGGCGCGACCCCAUCUCUGUAGUCCCACCUCAGCUUCCCAGAUACUUGAACCCCAAGGUUCAAGGCUGCAAUGAGCUAUGAUCCCAUCACAGCACUCCAUCCUGCGAGACGGAGAGACGGGGUUUCACCAUGUUGGCCAGGCUGGUCUGGAACUCCUGACUUGAAGUAAUCUGCCCACCUCGGCUUCCCAAAGUGCUGGGAUUACAGGCGUGAGCCACUGCGCCUGGCCCCUUCAGGUGGGUAUUGAGGCUUCACUACAAUACUAGUUCCCCGUUGCUGCCGCAAUAAAUUACCACACACUUAGUGGCUUAAAACAGCAUAGAGGUAUUCCUUUACAUUUCUGAAGGCCAGAAUUCUAAAGUCAGUCCCACUGAGUCAAGGUGGGAGCAGGGUCAGUGCCUUUCCAGGCUCUGCGGGAGAAUCCGUUUCCUGGCCCUGGAGGCGGCCUGUACUCCUCAGCUUGUGCUGCCCUUCUCGAAUGACUCGCGUU